rnacentral:rRNA from 1 species
CCUACGGGAGGCAGCAGUGAGGAAUAUUGGUCAAUGGACGAGAGUCUGAACCAGCCAAGUAGCGUGAAGGAUGACUGCCCUAUGGGUUGUAAACUUCUUUUAUAUGGGAAUAAAAUGUUCCACGUGUGGGAUUUUGUAUGUACCAUAUGAAUAAGGAUCGGCUAACUCCGUGCCAGCAGCCGCGGUAAUACGGAGGAUCCGAGCGUUAUCCGGAUUUAUUGGGUUUAAAGGGAGCGUAGGUGGAUUGUUAAGUCAGUUGUGAAAGUUUGCGGCUCAACCGUAAAAUUGCAGUUGAAACUGGCAGUCUUGAGUACAGUAGAGGUGGGCGGAAUUCGUGGUGUAGCGGUGAAAUGCUUAGAUAUCACGAAGAACUCCGAUUGCGAAGGCAGUUCACUGGACUGCAAAUGACACUGAGGCUCGAAAGUGUGGGUAUCAAACAGGAUUAGAUACCCCAGUAGUC